CAUGGAGUUUGAUCCUGGCUCAGAUUGAACGCUGGCGGAAUGCUUUACACAUGCAAGUCGAACGGUAGAGGGGGCAACCCCUUGAGAGUGGCGAACGGGUGAGUAAUAUAUCGGAACGUGCCCAGUCGUGGGGGAUAACGUAGUGAAAGUUACGCUAAUACCGCAUACGAUCUAUGGAUGAAAGCGGGGGACUCGCAAGAGCCUCGCGCGAUUGGAGCGGCCGAUAUCAGAUUAGGUAGUUGGUGGGUAAACGGCUCACCAAGCCAACGAUCUGUAGCUGGUCUGAGAGACGACCAGCCACACUGGAACUGAGACACGGUCCAGACUCGUACGGGAGCAGCAGUUGGGGAAUUUGGACAAUGGACGCAAGCCUGAUCCCAGCAAUGCGCGUGCAGGACUGAACGGUCCGUUACGGUUGUAAA
rnacentral:rRNA from 1 species